UGAUAUGAUGAUUGUUGCUCUCCUUGUAGC
rnacentral:piRNA from 1 species